AAUAGAUACCCGGGUAGUCCUUGCCGUAAACUAUGUAUACUUGGUGUUGUUGGGCUCAACCCUGACAGUACCGUAGCUAACGCGAUAAGUAUACCGCCUGGGGAGUACGCUCGCAAGGGUAAAACUCAAAAGAAUUGACGGGGACCCGCACAAGCAGUGGAGCAUGUGGUUUAAUUCGAUGCAACGCGAAGAACCUUACCUGGGCUUGACAUGCAUUUGACAGUUAUAGAAAUAUAAUGUUCUCGCAAGAGACAGAUGCACAGGUGCUGCAUGGCUGUCGUCAGCUCGUGCCGUGAGGUGUUGGGUUAAGUCCCGCAACGAGCGCAACCCUUGUCGUUAGUUGCCAACAUGUAAUGGUGGGCACUCUAGCGAGACUGCCUAGGUUAACUAGGAGGAAGGUGAGGAUGACGUCAAGUCCGCAUGGCCUUUAUGCCCAGGGCUACGCACGUGCUACAAUGGUCGGUACAGAAGGCAGCGAAACCGUGAGGUGGAGCAAAUCCUCAAAGCCGGCCCCAGUUCAGU
rnacentral:rRNA from 1 species